rnacentral:lncRNA from 1 species
CUUGUACAGCGCAGGGGCUGCCCCUCCGGGAUGACUGGGACCCGGGAGGCGGCCGCGAGGGCUUGAAUCGCGUAUAAUUAAGGGGAGGGCUUGGAUCGAAAUUGGGAAGUGGAUGGGGAGCUGAAAAAGCAGCCUUAUUAAAAAAAAGAUAUGAGUAAUGUUGCCUCUGUGAAAAGCCUGGAAAAGACUGACAGAUAAAAUUGAAAUACAUGGAAACAGGAUUGCCUGUCGUGUAGCCGGGCUGUCAGCUCAGCUACAGUGUUGUCAACAGAGGCAGACCCCAUCCAACACUCUUCAUGGAGAAGGGCACCAGUGAACUGAUAAGGAAAAAAAUAUCUUUCGUGGAGACUACAAGAAUUUUCCACAUGCUGACAGAAUCAUGAUUGUAAGGCCUUUUUGAUAGAGGUUUAGUAUCAUCACCUUCACGUUUGCAAGAGAACACACAGAAAAGAUCCUGUUGGAUGGGUAAGACCUUAAGAUUCUACUACAUUUUAUAUAUUAGCAUUUAAAUUUAAUAUUUUAAAAUAUAUUGCCUACAUAGGAUAGACAGGCAUAAUAUCCUUUGGGAUCUCGCACACAUUUCAGAUGAUAGGUUUCUUAUUGUGUAAUUUGUCUGAUUUUAUGUAACUAAUGGAAUUAAAAAAAAAAAAUCCCUGACCAAUGCAGAGUUAAUGCUUUUCAAUUUUACUCAAUGGUGUCUAUUUCCAGGACUUCUA